ACGGGAGGCAGCAGUGGGGAAUAUUGGGCAAUGGGCGAAAGCCUGACCCAGCAACGCCGCGUGAAGGAAGAAGGUCUUCGGAUUGUAAACUUCUUUUAUCAGGGACGAAGAAAGUGACGGUACCUGAUGAAUAAGCCACGGCUAACUACGUGCCAGCAGCCGCGGUAAUACGUAGGUGGCGAGCGUUAUCCGGAUUUACUGGGUGUAAAGGGCGCGUAGGCGGGGAUGCAAGUCAGAUGUGAAAUCUACGGGCUUAACUCGUAAACUGCAUUUGAAACUGCUGAUCUUGAGUAUCGGAGAGGCAAUCGGAAUUCCUAGUGUAGCGGUGAAAUGCGUAGAUAUUAGGAGGAACACCAGUGGCGAAGGCGGAUUGCUGGACGACAACUGACGGUGAGGCGCGAAAGCGUGGGGAGCAAACAGGAUUAGAUACCCUGGUA
rnacentral:rRNA from 1 species